rnacentral:lncRNA from 1 species
AGGCUUGGUAGUGGUUUUUCACAGAAGGCUUUUCAUUCCAGGAAUCAGGGUGACUUAGGCAAUGGGAACUUCCCAGUUUAGGUGUAUGACUAAACAAAGCAUUUUAAAGCACUGGAUGAUAAAGCACCUUUUAUGUUUUAAGAGAAAGCCAGCAGCUAACCAAGCAAAAUUGGGAAUUAUAAUACUAGUGAAGAGGAUAGGCAGGAAACAAUAUUGUAGUCUGUAAAUAAACUAGAAGAAUCAAAACAAGUUUGUGAAGGGAAACAAGAAUCCUUAAUUCAGAAGACAAAAAGGGAAUUAAAAAAAAAAAAAGAAAAGGGGGGUGUAAAUUAGGGGAGCCUACAAAUUACUAAAAACAAGUAGUUCUUCAUGUGUUGUAUAAUCUUCUAUGGACUGUUUUGGUGUUGCAUUUAAAAGGUUAUUUUAAUGCUGUCUUUGAGGUGAGACUUCUUGCAGGUCAAUCCAGGAGAUGAGGGUGGAAACAGGUCUCAGUAGAUACUGGAUGGUGACUUCUGCAGUGCUUUCAUCCAAGUGUACAUCCACAGGUAUGAUCGGUUACUACACUGAUAGUUCAGCACCAGACGAAGUGGAAAUAUUAGGUAUGUCCAGCCAGCCCAUGGACGUCUGUGUUAGUUGGAUGAGGUGAAUGGACAGGAAGUCUGCUGAGCUUAAGGUCACCCCGAGUCCUUCAAAAGCAGGCCUUCUUGGCACAGGGAAUAAAGGAUUAAGAGGGAAUAAAAGAAAGAUCUGGCUUCUCACUCAUUCCUCCCUCCUCUUUUGCAAAGGCACCUACUUAGUAAAACAAGAUCCUCAAGAGGGAGUGCCAGGGGUAAUGUAGAAGUGUAGAUGACAGCCAGGAAGAAUCACUGGCUAUUGAAAAUGUUUGUAAUAGCAGAACUUGAAUACAAGAGAAUGUCUUGCUUCGGAAAUCAAGUGAAAGAACCCUGCUAACUCUGACUGUGGAGGGAGGAUGGGGAUGGCUAGUAAUACGCUGGUUUCCUGUUGAGUGGGCACCUUCUUGUUCUCCAGAAAUUUCCCGCUGGCUGGUCUGUUUUGCUGCAGAACACUGUAGCUAUUGCAUGUGUUUGCAUCAACUUGUGUUUGUACAGCAACUGAAUUUUUUUAUGCAAUAGUACUUUGUGCAAGGAUAAUGGUGCUGAGAAAAUGUACUAAAAUUUGGCAUGACAAGCUAUACUUUUCAUCUGAAUUCAUGGGGAAAAAACAAAGAAAAUAAUGAUGUUCAAACAGCUAAUAAAUGCAUACUUUUAGUACUAGCUGUUGUUUGG